rnacentral:misc_RNA from 1 species
GAUGAAGAACGCAACGAAAUGCGAUAAGUAAUGUGAAUUGCAGAAUUCAGUGAAUCAUCGAAUCUUUGAACGCACAUUGCGCCCAUUAGUAUUCUAGUGGGCAUGCCUGUUCGAGCGUCAUUAAGUCCACUUAAGCCCUGCUUAGUGUUGGGAGACUGCUCCAGCGGUGCUACCCUGUAGCUACCCUGCAGCUCCUCAAAGACAGCGGCGGAGUUGUGGUAUCCUCUGAGCUUAGUAACUUGUUCUAGCUUUCGAGUACACCACUUCCCCUGCCGUAAAACCCUUAAUUUUUAAUGGUUGACCUCGGAUCAGGUAGGAAUACCCGCUGAACUUAAGCAUAUCAAUAAGCGGAGGA